UACGUAGGGUGCGAGCGUUAAUCGGAAUUACUGGGCGUAAAGCGUGCGCAGGCGGUUCGCUAAGACCGAUGUGAAAGCCCCGGGCUCAACCUGGGAAUGGCAUUGGAAACUGGCUCGCUGGAGUGUGGCAGAGGGGGGUGGAAUUCCGCGUGUAGCAGUGAAAUGCGUAGAGAUGCGGAGGAACACCGAUGGCGAAGGCAGCCCCCUGGGCCAACACUGACGCUCAGGCACGAAAGCGUGGGGAGCAAACAGG
rnacentral:rRNA from 1 species